rnacentral:rRNA from 1 species
UACGAGGGGUGGCAAGCGUUGCUCGGAAUUAUUGGGCGUAAAGGGUAGGUAGGUGGUCUCGUUUGUCUGGGGUGAAAGCCUUGAGCUUAACUCAAGAAGUGCCUUAGAAACGGCGAGACUGGAGUCUUGGAGAGGGUCGUGGAAUUCCCGGUGUAGCGGUGAAAUUCGUAGAUAUUCGCAAGAACACCAGUGGCGAAGGCGGCUCACUGGCCCGGUACUGACGCUGAGGUGCGAAAGCGUGGGAGCAACAGG